rnacentral:rRNA from 1 species
CCCAAACCGACACAGGUGAUCAGGUAGAGAAUACCAAGGCGCUUGAGAGAACUCGGGUGAAGGAACUAGGCAAAAUGGCACCGUAACUUCGGGAGAAGGUGCACCGCUUUUGGUGAUGGGAUUUACUCCCUAAGCUGAGGGCGGUCGAAGAUACCAGGCCCCUGCAACUGUUUAUUAAAAACACAGCACUCUGCAAACACGUAAGUGGACGUAUAGGGUGUGACGCCUGCCCGGUGCCGGAAGGUUAAUUGAUGGGGUUAGCGUAAGCGAAGCUCUUGAUCGAAGCCCCGGUAAACGGCGGCCGUAACUAUAACGGUCCUAAGGUAGCGAAAUUCCUUGUCGGGUAAGUUCCGACCUGCACGAAUGGCGUAAUGAUGGGGGCGCUGUCUCCACCCGAGACUCAGUGAAAUUGAAAUCGCGGUUAAGAUGCCGUGUACCCGCGGCUAGACGGAAAGACCCCGUGAACCUUUACUAUAGCUUUGCACUGAACUUUGAACCUAUCUGUGUAGGAUAGGUGGGAGGCUUUGAAGUCGAGACGCUAGUUUCGAUGGAGCCGUCCUUGGAAUACCACCCUGGUAUGUUUGAGGUUCUAACGUCGGCCCCUUAUCGGGGUUACGGACAGUGUAUGGUGGGUAGUUUGACUGGGGCGGUCUCCUCCCAAAGAGUAACGGAGGAGCACGAAGGUGUGCUAAUCAUGGUCGGAAAUCAUGAGGUUAGUGUAAAGGCAAAAGCACGCUUGACUGCGAGACAGACAUGUCGAGCAGGUACGAAAGUAGGUCUUAGUGAUCCGGUGGUUCUGUAUGGAAGGGCCAUCGCUCAACGGAUAAAAGGUACUCCGGGGAUAACAGGCUGAUACCGCCCAAGAGUUCACAUCGACGGCGGUGUUUGGCACCUCGAUGUCGGCUCAUCACAUCCUGGGGCUGAAGCCGGUCCCAAGGGUAUGGCUGUUCGCCAUUUAAAGUGGUACGCGAGCUGGGUUUAGAACGUCGUGAGACAGUUCGGUCCCUAUCUGCCGUGGGCGUUGGAGAUUUGAGAAGAGUUGUUCCUAGUACGAGAGGACCGGAAUGAACGAACCUCUGGUGUUCGGGUUGUCAUGCCAAUGGCAUUGCCCGGUAGCUACGUUCGGACGGGAUAACCGCUGAAAGCAUCUAAGCGGGAAGCCUCCUUCAAGAUGAGAUCUCCCUGGGACUUUAAGUCCCCUAAAGAGCCGUUGAAGACUACGACGUUGAUAGGUUGGGUGUGGAAGCGCAGCGAUGCGUUGAGCUAACCAAUACUAAUUGCUCGUGCGGCUUGAUCAA